GUGGAGCAUGGUGGAUGCUCCAGGUGAACCUCCUCGAGGUGAUCAGGACUUGUUAUUGGCCUCAGAGUGCUGACAACACACAGGAUUGUAAGUAUGGAGGCUAAGCCAGUGGGGAGAAAUGUGGUGCUUCUGGCUGAAGUGCAGAACCUGAACAGGACAGUGCAUCAUCAGAGCAUGCUGUCUCUGCACCAUUUGGAAUUCAGACUUCGGGGAAGAUAAAGGAAACAAAACCUUCAUUUCCCACUCCGCUAUUUCACCUAUAGUGCUUCAUGUUUCUCCUGGCAUUAUGCUUGCAAAGGUGUUCCUAUGCUAUGUUAGCUUAAUUACAACACCAGCAAGCCAAGCCCAACAAUUCAGAGAAGAAAUAGUCUGGCAAUUUUACCAUAGCUAGGAAGGUAUAAUUAAAGCAAUCACAUAAUUAACAUUUUCCUCAGCUAGUUAUUGUUUUAUUACAGCUGACAGUAUAGAACAAAUGGAAGUUACUUAGACUGGCAUUGCUGCUGAGGUGUCUGUGUGAAACCUCAACAGAGCACCCAAAAAUAUCAUCUAGGUAGCAUUCACACAGCAGUGGAUCAUUACUCUGUUGGCUUUAACACUCAUUUCUUUGUGGAUUGGCACACGCUUCUUGUGGCUCACGCAUUACUUCAGCCUAAGGAAAGCUUUUCUUCCACAUCCACAAUUGGCCAUAACUGCUGUUAAUGUGGCUGAUCUUUCCAGCCAGCUGUAACAACCUCCGGUUUUUCUCUUUCUUGCAUGGUGGGACUCCACAUUGGCAGAGUAUUCCAGGUGUGCUCUGACAGGUGCUGAGUGGCAGGGAAUAGUCACAUCAUUUGUUUUACCUCUCACAGCUGAAAAAGUGGGGUUACGUGGCAAAGACUUUAACACAAAUUCAGGUCCAGGAAUAGGAGGUGGACACAUCUGGCUUCGAAUAAUAACAUUAACGGUACAGCGAUGCUGUGAAACAUUGCCUGGGGAUCUGAAAGAACUGUAUGGAGCUGAGGACUACAGAGUAAACAAACAGGAUUCUCAGGCAAUCUGCAGUCUAAAGGAAAGGAUAAAAAUCCUCAACAACAACAUUAUGAAUGAUGAGCUUCCCUUUAACAUUUUGAUAAUGCCAGUGGAGUAAAAAAAGACUGGUGAUGAUAAGGUAGCUGACCAAAUAAACACAGGCUGCAGCAAAACUAGCAAGCUAGCAAAUACUGGGCAAAGCUGUCAGCUGUGUAGCAGGUAAAAGGGCAGCAGGCACAGCUGGGAAGGUCACUGAAGGGCAAAGUUCUAAUAGAGUAUUUUAGAAUUACAUAUUUCUAACAAAGGGAAUAGAUUCCUGUUAUUUUUUCCAUGAUGCAUACGUGGAAAUGGAGCAGUGUGUAAAUAAGGAAGAGAGCACUGAGAUCAAGCCUGUCCCUUCUCACCUAAUUUCUCCUCUUAGCACAGAUGUCCUUAGGAGACCCUGAACUGUGACUAAAUGUGCCACACUGUUUUUCUCUCUGCUUUGGGCAUUCAAGGUCUUUUCUUCAUUCCUCGUUCAUGAAAAUUGGGAAUAUCUUCAGCAAGUGAAGUGUGGUGUACUUAGAACAGAAGUGAGAUCAGAAAACAGGAAAAGUCAGUGUCUUGCCCAGAGUCACAGAGCUAGCUGAAGUAGGUUCAGCAGUAAAAGCCUCCCAAUCCCAACCUGAUAUUUUGUAAAAAAUAAAUAUCAAAUCAAAGAAAGAACUGAAAAUAGACAUGCUAUCUAAAGAUCAGUGAUGAGAAAUGUGUGGUUGGAAGAGGAAGGCUGAUUACAAGCUUCAACAGCAGAGGGGUUUCCUAUCAAUAAGGAGAAACACUACAGCAGGUCUACAAAUGCCAUUAGUAUUAAUUGGUUUAAAAAAGUGUAAUUUCUACAAAUUCCUGUAUAUUAAUUCAAAGCACCUGAAGUACCACCGUGUCACAGGAGAGGGCACGCUGUGCUUAGAAGGACAUUUCUGUUCCUCUCCAGUGAUGAGAAUCAACAUAGAGAAAAUGAAUAAAGCAACUCAGAGACUUAAUAAACGGGAGAUUUUCAAGUACUUUUUUGUUUAAUAGCAUAGCAUAUAACCCAGUUCCAAUUUCAAACGCUCUGAGGUUACAUCUCUGCCCCGAUCACAUCUGUGCUCUUCUCGCCUCUGUUUCCACGCUCAUGCUCAGCACUGAACGUAAUUAUGAAUGCCAGUCACUUGUUUAAACAAAUGCUUUGUUUGGCAACCUUUGUUUUCCUACUGCUUAUGCAGCUGCAAAAUUGUGUGCACAGUGUGUUAAUUUUUUACCUCUGACCCUAUGGUAAGGUUUUUCUUCUAAUGAAAAGAAAAAGAAACCAAUGAACGAGAUACCAAUCUGUUUUUGAUCUACACAGAACACGUCUAAAAGCAGCAACUUCCUUGGGAAACAAAAGCAAGUGAAUGCUGAUAAGAAGGUAAAAUAAGCCAGAUAUUUCCUGGAACCAAAUGAUUUUUCAUAAUGAGACGGAGAAAAACUUAGCAUACACGUAAAGUGGAAGAGAAAGUCUGAAAAAGAAGGAUGAAAAGGUGAGGAAUUAAAACAAUGAGGAAAUAUCUAGCUUAUUCCAUUUGGGAGAAUAAGCCAGCAGGGCAGCAAGAGGUAUUUUCUUCUAUAAAAUUAAAAAAUAAGAAUGAUGAUUUGCUCCUCAGCUCCAUACAGUUCUUUCAGAUCCGCAGGCAAAAAAUAUGAUGUUCUUAUUCAUUUUUAUGGGAAGAGGGGGUGCCUGGAAUAGGAGCUGAUUUGGCAAAGGCACUCGAACAAGUUACAGUGGGUUAAACAUGGGAUAGAACGGCGCAUCUGCUUCUUCCUGGUGCUGGCUUAUGAGCAAUCUCUUACCUCAUGGUAAAGUAAAGCCCUCAUUUGCUUAGAGGACACACACUGCAUUUCAAUACAUCAUUGCAUUCAGGUGAGCACAUUUUUGAAAGCUCAUAAAGCUGAGGGGAUUUUGUGAAGCACGGGAAACACUUGUUUGUCCUUGUUAAGUGGUUCAUGCUGUAAAUAAAGACUAAACACCAAAAUUGGUCCUGAUUUAAGCACUGAGAAGGUGCCAAAUUGCUGUAUUACUUUUAU